CAAGAAAAAAACCUGCAGUCCCUGCACUACACGUUCCAUCGUCGCCUCCUUCGGCCUGUCGCCCCCUCCACUCCCCUCCCCAGUCUACGGCCUGCGUGCGCCGGCGCCGCCGCUCCCGACCGCCGCCUCCCCGACGACCCCCGCGCCCGUUCGACUGGGAUCCCUCCCCGCCGCGCCGCCCGAGCUCCGCCCUUGGGCCCAGGUGCGGAAGUGCAUGGUGGAGCAUCUCCCUUUCCCCGCUGAGGGGGAACUUGAGAAUCUGGGGCAUCAUCAGUACACUUGACCUGGUGAGAUUAAGGACUUCAUCGACAAAGGUCAAGCAGAAUGGGUGGUACCGAACACAGCAUACGCGUUGCUCAGCAAUGCUGAAGCUUUCUGGGAGGAUAUCAAGGAUGGCAGCCGCUUCCACGGUGGUUAUGCCAUUGUGAAGACCGAGAUCUAUGCUGCUGAAAUAGGUCAUCAAGCAGGUUACUCAGAAAACAGUGAGGUGAUCGCCACUGAGAGAAGAAUGAGAAAACCUAACAGUGAGGUAGAACCAGGCAAAAAUGAAACCAUCACACUUGACAGGUUUGAUGUUUCCGGACAGCUUUGGUUUAGGAGGAGAUACCAAAACCCACAUACAGUUUCGUCCAAUGGAUGGAUGGUAAAGCAGCCAGGCUUAAAGAGAAGCCUACAUCAAUCAAGAUAUCAGAUAUCUGUGCUUGGAUCGAAACAAUGGAUGAAGCAUUGAGGUGUAUCCAGAAAGAUGUAAGUGAAGUGAAGGAUUUGAUAAAAAAAACUACACCACUCUGGUGGGUGCAAAUUUGGCACAGGCUGAGGUCAUUAAGGAAUUUGUCAAAGAACAGACUUCAACAACUGCUUCCCUUACUCGUGACCUGACCAGUUUAAGGAAUGAGCUCAGAAUUGUUGGACCAUGAUGAACUAGACUUCAACUUGUUGCAGACAAUCGAAGCCUCCAAGGUGGUGUCUGGUGACAGCGGUUACGUUUCGCAGGUGUUUGCAGCAGCGUUUUAUCCUUUCUUAAUUCAAUCAAAGAGCCGAACCUGGAUCUUGGUUAUUGGAACUUGUUAAUCCAACAGAUGUAAAUGGCACGCAGAGUUGGUAGAUUACCCUACUAUUGCUUUUACUUCCGUCAUGAUGAUGUCUGAAUUUUAUCAUCUAAAAUUCUAAAUGGAAAUUGUGUGACAGAAUUGGUGAA